GAUGAACGCUGGCGGCGUGCCUAAUACAUGCAAGUCGAACGAAACUUCUUUAUCACCGAGUGCUUGCACUCACCGAUAAAGAGUUGAGUGGCGAACGGGUGAGUAACACGUGGGCAACCUGCCCAAAAGAGGGGGAUAACACUUGGAAACAGGUGCUAAUACCGCAUAACCAUAGUUACCGCAUGGUAACUAUGUAAAAGGUGGCUAUACUACCGCUUUUGGAUGGGCCCGCGGCGCAUUAGCUAGUUGGUAGGGUAAAGGCUUACCAAGGCAAUGAUGCGGUGGCCAAGUGAAGAGGUGAACGGCCAAAUUGGGACCGAGACACGGCCCCAACUCCGACGGGAAGCCGCCGUAAGGAAACUUCCCCAAUGGGCGAAAGCCUGAUGGAGGAAACCCGCGGUGGGUGAGAAGGUCCUCCGAUUCGAAAACCCUGUUGUUAGAGAAGAAAGUGCGUGAGAGUAACUGUUCACGUUUCGACGGUAUCUAACCAGAAAGCCACGGCUAACUACGUG
rnacentral:rRNA from 1 species